AAAGCACUUUGAAAAGAGGGUCAAACAGUACGUGAAACUGUGCAAUGUAAAGCGAAUGUUAGUACGAGCAAUGGGGCUGGCGGCUCAGCUGCCUACUGAAACUGUAUGACAUGCCAUUGGGGGCAUGUAAUAAUUGGCUGUGGCGGUGCAUUCUGUCAGCCUGCGAAUCAUCCGUUCCGUUGGACGCGAGGGCCAUUAGCUGUGCAAGACUUUACCUCUUUUGGUAUUCUUGGAUGGUUGGUGGGUUCUGCUACGGCAGUUUGCAAGUUCGACGGACUGUGUGCUGGUUUGCCACGUUUCGACGGGCUAGAGUUAUGCUGGAAAGUUACCGAAAUGGUGAUACGCUGGACAUUGAUGAAUAGCUGUAUAUUGUCUGUGGCAAAUUAAUGCCGAGAGGAUGAGAUGGUUGUAUGAUAGCAUUCGACCCGUCUUGAAACACGGACUAAGGAGUUCAACAUGUACGCAAGUCUUCUUGAUAGCAGACAGGAAGGCGAAGUGAAAGCGAAUUGUAUGGGGCGGUGUGAACGAACAUUGAGAUGGUCGAUCAGCACUUGUGAUGGGUGGCACGAAUAUUAUUGUUGCUGUCUGCAACUGAGCGUGCAUGCUGAGACCCGAAAGAUGGUGAACUAUGCCUGAGCAGGAUGAAGCCAGAGGAAACUCUGGUGGAGGUCCGUAGCGAUUUUGACGUGCAAAUCAAUCGUUGGACUUGGGUAUAGGGGCGAAAAACUAAUCGAACCAUCUAGUAGCUGGUUCCCUUCGAAGUUUCUCUCAGGAAAGCUGGUAUUGGCGUGACAGUUUUAUCUGGUAAAGCGAAUGAUUAGAGGCAUUGGGGACUAAUUGUCCUCGACCUAUUCUCAAACUUUAAAUGGGUAAGAUGCCCUUCGUUUCUUGACUGAGCGAGGGCAUGAGAAUGUAUCAGUACCGAGUGGGCUAUUUUUGGUAAGCAGAACUGGCGAUGUGGAAUGAACCAAAAGUUGAGCUAAGAUGCCAAAGACAUUUCUCAUAAGAAACCAUGAAAGGUGUUAGUCGAUAUUGACAGCAGGACGGUGGCCAUGGAAGUCGGAAUCCGCUAAGGAGUGUGUAACAACUCACCUGCCGAAUCAACUAGCCCUGAAAAUGGAUGGCGCUGUAGACAUGCAUCUAUGCUCAACCGUCGGAUCAAUGCAAUGUUUCGAAAACAUUUGGCUCGGCGUGUAGAAGGGCGCGUGUACUGGCGUUGAAGCUAUCAGCGUAAGCUGGGGUGGAGCCGGUACAGGUGCAGAUCUUAGUGGUAGUAGCAAGUAUUCAAAUGAGAGCUUUGAAGACUGACGUGGAGAAGGGUUCCAUGUGAACAAUAUUUGGACGUGGGUCAGCCGGUCCUAAGAGAAUGAAAGACUUCAUGAAAAGUAUGUGUCAUCUGAUAUCGUGAUCGAAAGGGAAGCGGGUUAAUAAUCCCGAGCCAGUAUACGGAUAUGGGUGGCUUCUUCGGAGGUCAUCUAAUGCGGUAACGUGAACAAACUCAGAGAUCGACUACCCUGUGUCCGGGGAAGAGUUCUCUCUUCUUUGUUAGGAACAUUAUCCCUGGAAGCAGCUUGUCUGGAGAUAGGGUACGUGUUCCAUAUUGCAACGUGACUCGUGCGUUGCACCGUGCGCAUAGGGUAGUGCUUGAAAAUCUGAGGGCGAUGUCGUUAUUUUCGUAACUGCUCGUACCCAUUUCCGCAGCAGGUCUCCAAGAUGUAUAGCCUCUAGUCUGAAGGACAAAGUAGACAAGGGAAGUCGGCAAAUCAGAUCUGUAACUUUGGAAUAAGGAUUGGCUCUAAAGGCUGAGUUGAUCGGACUGUGGCAGGAAUUGGGAGGAGAAGCUUUGCGACUGGUUGAGAUCUGACUUCGUAAGUUGUCGGGUCGAGAUCGGACUUCAGCGGUAUCUGUACCAUGGAUGGCCACAGCUGCGUUUUUCAUAAACCUCGAUCAGCGUUCAACAGCUAAACUAGAACUGGUACGGACAAGGGGAAUCCAACUGUUUAAUUAAAACAAAGCAUUGCGAUAGCUGUGAUUGGUGUUGACGCAAUGUGAUUUCUGCCCUGUGCUCAGAAUGUUAACGUGAAGAGAUUUAAGCAAGCGCGGGUAAACGGCGGGAGUAACUAUGACUCUCUUAUGGUAGCCAAAUGCCUCGUCAUCUAAUUAGUGACGCGCACGAAUGGAUUAACGAGAUUCCUUCUGUCCCUGUCUGCAACCUAGCGAAACCACAGCCAAGGGAACGGGCUUGGAUCUUAACAGCGGGGAAAGAAGACCCUGUUGAGCUUGACUCUAGUCAGUCUUUGUGAAGAAACAUGAGGGAUGUAGGAUAUGUGGGACCUUCGGGGACAGUGAAAUACCACUGCCUUCAUUGUUUCUUUACUUACUCGGUGAUUCGGUUGGCAGUAUUGCUAUUUGUCAGGUGAAUUUCAUCCUUCAGUGUGUUGAACUGUCUGUUUUGAGAACAUAGACUGAUGGGGAGUUUGACUGGGGCGGUACAUCUAUUAAAAUCUAACGCAGGUGUCCUAAGGCGAUCUCAGCGAGGGCAGAAACCUCGCAUAGAGUGAAAGGGCAAAAGGUCGCUUGAUCUUGAUUUUCAGUGGGAAUACAGACAAUGAAAGUUUGGCUUGUCGAUCCUUUUGAGUUUUACGAGUUUUAAGCAAGAGGUGUCAGAAAAGUUACCACAGGGAUAACUGGCUUGUGGCGGCCAAGCGAUCAUAGCGACGUCGCUUUUUGAUCCUUCGAUGUC
rnacentral:rRNA from 2 species